GACGAACGCUGGCGGCGUGCUUAACACAUGCAAGUCGAACGGAAAGGCCCUGCUUUUGUGGGGUGCACGAGUGGCGAACGGGUGAGUAACACGUGAGUAACCUGCCCUUGACUUUGGGAUAACUUCAGGAAACUGGGGCUAAUACCGGAUAGGAGCUCCUGCUGCAUGGUGGGGGUUGGAAAGUUUCGGCGGUUGGGGAUGGACUCGCGGCUUAUCAGCUUGUUGGUGGGGUAGUGGCUUACCAAGGCUUUGACGGGUAGCCGGCCUGAGAGGGUGACCGGCCACAUUGGGACUGAGAUACGGCCCAGAAUCCUACGGGAGGCAGCAGUGGGGAAUAUUGCACAAUGGGCGGAAGCCUGAUGCAGCAACGCCGCGUGCGGGAUGACGGCCUUCGGGUUGUAAACCGCUUUCGCCUGUGACGAAGCGUGAGUGACGGUAAUGGGUAAAGAAGCACCGGCUAACUACGUG
rnacentral:rRNA from 1 species